rnacentral:rRNA from 1 species
CAGCAGGCGCGAAAACUUUGCAAUACACGAAAGUGUGACAGGGCUAUCCCGAGUGCCAUCCGCUGAGGAAGGCUUUUACCCAGUCUAGAACGCUGGGGGAAUAAGGAGAGGGCAAGCCUGGUGUCAGCCGCCGCGGUAAUACCAGCUCUCCGAGUGGUGUGGAUGUUUAUUGGGCCUAAAGCAUCCGUAGCUGGCUAAGUUAGUCCCUUGUUAAAUCCACCGAAUUAAUCGUUGGAUUGCGGGGGAUACUGCUUGGCUAGGGGACGAGAGAGGCAGACGGUAUUUCCGGGGUAGGGGUGAAAUCCUAUAAUCCCGGGAAGACCACCAGUGGCGAAGGCUGUCUGCUAGAACGCGCCCGACGGUGAGGGAUGAAAGCUGGGGGAGCGAACCGGAUUAGAUACCCGGGUAGUCCCAGCUGUAAACGAUGCAGGCUAGGUGUUUGGACGGCCACGUGCCGUUCUAGUGCCGCAGGGAAGCUGUUAAGCCUGCCGCCUGGGGAGUACGAUCGCAAGAUUGAAACUUAAAGGAAUUGGCGGGGAGCAC